CAAUAUCUGAUUCUGAUCUAUCAACAAAUUUCAAGUUAAAUAGUAAUGCUUUUUGUCAAUGGAAGUGUUUUGUUGAAGGUAAAAAUAAAGAAGGAACGCCUUUCUAAAGCCUUGCAUCUAGAACAAGGGACACGCCUAGGCAGAUAAGGUAAGAGCCUGGUGAAUGUCGCCCACCUUUCUUUUUUUAUAUUGGUUUUCGAUCCAAUCAAAUCAGUUAUCCUUCGGUUAUCUUUUAAAUAAUUACAUUCUAAUUCGAUCCAAUCAAAUCAGUUAUCCUUCGGUUAUCUUUUAAAUAAUUACAUUCUAA
rnacentral:misc_RNA from 1 species